GGGCCAGCACUGACCCUGCUGUUCUCCCUGCAGAAAAGCAGAGGCGCCGCGGGCGACCCGGGAUGAGAAGCGUCGGGCACAGCACAACGAAGUGGAGCGCCGGCGCCGGGACAAAAUCAACAACUGGAUCGUGCAGCUCUCCAAGAUCAUCCCCGACUGCUCCAUGGAGAACACCAAGUCGGGGCAG